UACCUUCGGGAUGGAUCUCAUGUCCCUAUUGGAUUUCUGUCCUCGCUCACCAACCGCCUUGCCCUAGAGAGAAGCAAGCUGGCAGAGGUAUGGUUAACCUGCUGCAGAUGCCAGUGGAGACUUGGUCUUUGCGGGAGCCAUCCCGCAACCCACGGAGCCCAUUCCACAGAGGCUUUCUGUCUGUAUCUCCAUGUGUCUGGCUGGACUGAGGCUUCUCCGGGACAGAUUCUGUGGCUGGCUGACCCUGUCUGGCCAGCACCAAGCCCCCUGGGUGGAGAAGCAUGUGUCUCCCCCUGGGCGGAGGGCCCGUGUGAGAGAAGUGGCUUGCCAUCUCCUGCACACGAGAUCUUCUGGGGCAAAGAGGAAGCUGUGUUCAGUACUGCGUGUUUGAGUGUAUGCUACAAGCAAAACAUCAGCGGGCCUGGAGAGAGCUCAUCACUUCCACUACGCGUGUUGGUGAGCCUCAGGCUUCGCUCUGUAAAAAAGACAGAGCACUUUAUGGAGGGGCCAAGUCCACCUGCCCCAUAGUGAGAAUAGAGGAUGGAUCAGGCUUGUUCCAUCGUGGUAGGGUGCACCCAGGAGAGGAGAGGGACUUGCUCCUAGAAAGUCAUGCAGAGGACUCACUCAAGGGGGCAGGGUGGGAAGAUGGCCCUGGUUGAAGCAUCAGACUAUACCUCUACCAGGCUCUCUAACCCUACCUUGCAAUCAACAUCAUCCUGGGGGCUUGCCUUUCACGGUCAUCCCUGAAUAUGCAUGUAUUAACUCAUUCUUUCAUUUACCCAUUCCACAGCCCGUCCAGGUGACUAUUAGGAUGCGCCAGGAUGAAGCCUUUCACACCGAGGAAGACUCAAAAAUCAUCUCAAAAAUUGCCCCGUUAACCAUGUCAGCAGUACCUUGAAAUAAAACAGAGAGGAAAAACUACA
rnacentral:lncRNA from 1 species